UACGAAGGGGGCUAGCGUUGCUCGGAAUCACUGGGCGUAAAGGGCGCGUAGGCGGCCAUUCAAGUCGGGGGUGAAAGCCUGUGGCUCAACCACAGAAUUGCCUUCGAUACUGUUUGGCUUGAGACCGGAAGAGGUGAGUGGAACUGCGAGUGUAGAGGUGAAAUUCGUAGAUAUUCGCAAGAACACCAGUGGCGAAGGCGGCUCACUGGUCCGGUUCUGACGCUGAGGAGCGAAAGCGUGGGGAGCGAACAGG
rnacentral:rRNA from 1 species